UUACAUCAUUGAAACAGUGGUACAAACAGCUGCAGUGGGAGGAAUCUUCCAUUUACAAUCCCAUUUUUUAAAGCAGCGCAGAGUAAUGCUCAGGGAGUGAGAGUGACUUAUUUUUACGAUUCUGUUUCAGUGCCCAGUUUAGACAUAAGAGGUUGUGAAUGUUCAUCACCUGCAACAAUCAGCAGUGCUGCCACUAAACAUGUCAGACAGUAAAUUACCUGUAUCCAAAAAAAAGGAAUAAAUAAAUAAAACUUUCAUCAUCAUCCAAUCAAACCAUGGCUGAGUUUGUAACCAGGCAGAUUCCAGGUCGAGUUCCAUCCCAGGCAGAUUCCAUCGAUGAAAAGGCUCUUCAGUUCAUGUAUGCAACAAAUUCUCCCUUUCACCUUGUUCAGAACAACAUUUCAUUGACAAGUUCAAUCAUUAUGACCAGGCUACUGUCCACCCGGCAGUGCAAAGUUGAUGGAUGCAGGGUAUAAGAAGGAAAAUGAGCAGUGUGCAAAAAACAUUGCUGGGAAAUUCGUUAGUCUGAGUCUUAAAGGGUGGAGCAAUGUACACAAUGACCCAGCAAUAAGUGCUGGUGUGACAACAGAAGGUGGGGGUUUUGUCAUACAGAAACAACUGAUACACCAGGAAAUGCCCAUACAGCAGAGUUCUUAAAAGUAGCAGCAAAAGCUGUAGCAAACUGUGAGCAAAAAUUCAAGUGUCAGAUGUGUCAUUUUGUCACAGACAAUGCCGCAAAUGUAGCAAAGAUGAGAUGAAAUCUACCAGAUGACAAUGAAAGGAACAUAAAACUUGUAACAUAUGGGUCUAGUGCUCAUUUGAUGCAUCUUUUAGCCGAAGACUCAAGUACAACUCCAGGAAUAAAAAACUAUGUGCUGAAAUUGCAAAAUCCUUACAGGAGAACCACUGCUUCAGCCUCGCCGAAGAGAGGAGGCGGAGACAGACUAAUUCUACCCCAGGAUGUACAAUUGAAUGCAGUGGUCGACUGUUCUGAGCUGUGAGUUCAGAACUGGCCCAUUGUGACGAAAAUUGGGACCAAAUAGAUGGAACUACCACAGCCAAAGAAGCCAACACUGGAGGCGAGAGCCAUGUGGCAGACACGCUGAAUACACCGAAACCUGCUUCCAGAGCCCUGGACAAACUGCGGGGAGAUUGCUGCUGUGUUGCUGAUGCUGCUGACAUUUGGAAAGAACUUCAAGGGGCCUUGACACCAGAAGUACCCAACACCACAGUUAACUGGCAGGCAGGAAAGAGGCGGCUGGAUCAAGCAAAGUACCAGGGUAGAUGCCUAGCUGCUGGAGAAGAUGCUGCUAUGACCUGGGCAUCUAAUAAUCACCAGCCACUCGUGCCAACCAUAACGCCUUUCAGGGCGGGAGGUGCCUUUGGAGCAGUCCAUGUUUGCUGACGCUGUUUUAAAGCAAGUCACACCACUGAACCUGGGGGAAGUCGCUAGCUAAGCACCCGGCACCACAGGCCCUUGAAGUGCUAACCCAGCUUUGGACAGCAGGAGCCUGUUCUGCAGGCACAGAAGGAAUAUUUACUUCAUUUGGGCUAAUUCAUUCAAAGUUGAGAGAUCGAUUGGGAGUUGAAAAAGAGGAAAACUUGUCUCUCUCUUCCAGUCUGUGAAUAAAAAUGAGGAGAGAGGGGACGAGAUCUCCUACUUUUAAAAGUUUGAAGGGCAGCUUAAGUAACUGAGGAGACUGUUGUUUCAUUUUUCAAGAGACUUAGCACAUCGUCAGACGCUAUCAUUUCUUCUCCGCCGUUACCCCAGUGCCAUCGCUAGCUCUCGUCUUCAUGACGGAAUUUGAAGUGAAGUCCUGCUCUGAAAGGGAACGCUGAAGGAGAACACCAUAGGGGGUGAAAGCGCUCUCUCCUUGGCUUCAUGCCAAAUUGACUCCAUUUUCAUGUAAACAGACCCUUUUUUCCCUCCCCUUCCUCUUAGCCACCACCUAGCAUAAGAAACUCAGGAUGGAGGCGUUCUGGCAACUGCAUCCUCAACCCCCCCCUCCGGUAAAGAUUUUACCAGCUCAGUGCUGCCAUCAAUGGAGCUGAAGCUGGAACUGCAGGCCGAAUGUUGCCUCUGAGAUGGAAGUUGGUAGGCAAUCCUGAGCGGGUCGGAACUCUCCCCCAGCUCCAUGGGCAGGGCAGUGCUAACUGGAAUUCAAAAAUAAAUCAGUAUGAACUUACUUUUGUGCAGUGUAUAGGAAUAGGAUAGGAAGGCCUAUUGUGAGCCCUCUAGGGGCACUCAUUCUACUUACUCUCUGUGUUAGAGGCUGCCAGAAAUCAGCCAGAGCAGCAAUGUGUAUGUAGCUAGGCCUGGCUUGUUUGGCUGUGCUUGGUAUACGCAUUUAUAUGAACCUGGCUGUGUCCAGGUAGUUUCUUUACAUUAUAUGUGUGGUGUGAAGAACGAGACACCCACCCUUUUGUCACUACAGCAGGCUCCUGUCUGUAAGGUGCCAUUUUUUUUAAUACACGCUUUUUUCUGAUCACAACCCUUUUAAGAUGCUGCUAAUGAGUUUCCUCUCAGUUAGUAUAAAGGGCUAGCUCUCCUUCCUAGAACAGCCCCAGCAGUCCACUUCUUGCUUUAUUGCCUACUUGGCUCUCAAAUGCAAAUAUAAAGCUACAGGAACAAGGGAUGCAGCCAAGACGUGAAUCAGCAACAAUUCCACAAUAACAGACACAUGAAAAAAACCGCUUCUGACAAGCCCUGUUUCAGUAAUCCCCCAAAACUCAGCACAGAUAGUCCUUGCUGACCUAUCAAUUCUCUCCCAACUCCCCUUUACAUUGGAUACAUUUGUCUUCUGACAUUAAAUCUUCCCUUACCAGAAAUAAGUCCCAGUCCUUCAGUAUUUAUCAAAGUAGCAAAGGAAGCCAUAAAGAUUCCCCUCGUAUAACCAACAAAUAGUUUUCCAAGGUGCACAUCUAUACCCGAUUCCUUCACACUCAGCACACCGCUCUCCACGUCUCAUGUAACUGUUAUAUUCCUUCAGGGGCGGUUUUUAAUAGUUACUUCUGUAUUUGCCGAGGGGUGCUGCAUUCGGGAUCGCCACAAAGGCCCAAUCCUGCGUGGGGAGCUAUCUGUCUACAGAGCUCCCCUCACUUCAGUCAGGCUCUGCUUCAGCACUGGGAGUGAAUUCCACAAUCGGGGCUUUGGGACAGCAAUAGUCAAGUCUCCUCCUACAGGAGACUCCUGCCGUUAAGCUUGUGUGAGCCACUCUUCUGCUAGUGCUGAAUAGAAAGUCUACAAUGGCAAUUUUGGCUUUUGAGCAGUGGUAAUGUGACCAUGAAUAAAUCAAUAAGAGCCCUCAAGGUUUUAAACCACAGCUAUCACUUUAUCCAAUCUGUAUGAGAGACCCUGUACACUACUUUGUUUAGUUAGGGCUUUAAAGUUUAGCUACCUUAAAAACUAGUAGGGAAGAGGUAACAGCACACUUGCUUUAAACACAGCUGUCGCUGGUGAGUUACACAUCACCCAUUUACGAUCUCUUGUCAACUUCCUUCUGAGCUAUGUCACUGUGGUGUUCGCAGCCACACUGAAAAGCCCUGCCCAACUUCCUGUGCCCUCAGCUCGCGGGAGCUGCACUCACUCACUCACGCAUCGCUAGGACGUCUGGGAACAUAUCCUGUGGUUCUUUGUACUGCUGUAAACUGAGCCACUCUGGUGCUUUCCCAGUGAAUUGUGAGAGAACUUGUCUGCCCUCCUGUGCACAGAGUAGAAUUGUGGGAAGGCAUGGGAGGACUCUCAGCGCUCAGCCUGCAUCCUCGCUGCAAGCUGAGUGGGUUACCAGCUCUGGCCUAUACCCCUAGCCGGCAAGCUAGCCUGGGUUUAAAGCCCCACCAAAUGCCAGUGAGACAGUUUUGUGCAUCGAUGUGAAGGGAGGGGGCUAUUCAUGGCAGCACCCAAGGAAGAGUCAGAGUCAGAUUGGAGUGAAUACCCUUGGUGCGUGUUGGCCUUUAUACUUACUAAUACCUAGCUUCCCCUGAUGGCCUGCAGCCCUGCCUACUCCCAUCUCUCCUCGCCCCUUUGGUUCAAUCCAUUUGCUACCCCUCCUGUUUGGUGUCAUCCACCAGUUUACUCACGCUGAGUUUCGAUCUGAUAAGACAAGACAGGAAGCAGCCACCAAGAGUAAAAAAGCUGCUUGUUUGUUAGUCAGAAGAGACUGCAGAAAGUGUUACAAGAAACUAGAAACAUCACUGCCUACAGAGUGACAUACUUCUUCCCUGUAACAAAUGCAGCUGUAGCAUAAGACACACUGAUUUGUUACAUUUCAGAAUAGCCCAUUUUUGUUCCCCUUGUCCACGAAGGUACUGCUGAGGUACGCAAUGUGUGCCUGGAUUAGCCAAGAUGUGCACCUCUGGGGAGGUGAAUUUAAUUCUAAAAGCUAGUCACCGAUAAACAUCUGAGAGCACCACUGUAAAUAAAUGUACCAGUGGUUCUACUUGCUCUCUCUCCAGUGCAGUUUAUGCCAGGUCUCCAUGCAAUAAAGGGACUUUAUUGUUCUGAACGGUUCAAGUGAAUUCUCUCCAUUUCUCUCACUACAGCUCCCCCCUAGGGAAUGGGCAGUGAGAGGGGAGGGGACGCUAACAGGGAGCAGCCGGAGAUGUAGGGUAGACAGUACUGUAGUCUUAUCCACACAAAAUUCUAGCAGUACAGUGUGACUGGACAAUAUUACCUAGGGCAGAUAAGGGUCAGGAUCCCAGGUGAUUUUGAAUGGCCUACAGAAGUCACUGAGGUUGAAGCCACCACUAUGCUAAGCGUUUGUGGGUUCCUAAAGCUUUAAUGUAUUCAGAUGAAAAGCUGUGUUGGAUUUAAAGCGACAGAUGUAACGUUAUCAGAGGCAAUGCCAUCACAAAACUUUUAGCUACUUGCAAACAGUUGCCCUACGAUGCUCAGUAGCCAGAAGACUUCUAUUCACCAGGGAUGCGUGCUCAGUAUUUUGGGGUGAAAUGGGGGAGGCUGGGCUUCUUCCACCUUCUCUUGAGAAUCACCCAAGCUUCUGAGUGGAGAGGCUACAUUGUAAAGACGCCCUCGGCUCCUGAGGACGAGAUCCAGUAAUGCUAUGGCUAAGGUGAUGCUACUACAGAGUUUGUAACCAUCAGCAGCUACAGCAGUGGCCAUCCAUUGGCCCUAUGGAUUGAAAACCUUGACAAAUCCGCUUGCAGUCAUUGAGAUAUUUACACAGCCCACAGGGUGUGUGAGCCAUAAAAAGCAAGUUAGAUUUAGUCUGAUAAGACAUACACCUGGUCAGGUCCACUAAACAAAGCAUCAGGAAAGAUUAACACUGUGUAAGGCUCCUUAUCUAAGGGAGGUCUGCUUAAGGUCUACACAUGGUACAUCGCCAGAAGUUUGCUUUAAUUUAAUGCUUUAAAUCAGAGAAGCUUGAAUUGCUUUCAAUUCAUUUAAUCUCACACCAUCUCUUCCAAGGGCGAGGGAGGAUGGCGUAAUACCCAUUUUCAGGAUUUCUGCCCUUCAGGGGCCCUUUAAGUGAUAUUUCCCCCCCCCCAUCAUAGUAAGUCAGUGAAAGACAGGGAAUAGAGUCCACAGUUCCUGCCACCCAGUUCUAUGUCAGCCAAAAUAGUCUUCCUCGCUAGGAAUACAUAGUGCUUUACAUCUUCAGUCACUUACAGACAAGCAAUCUACUUGGGCCCCUGUAAGGUGCCAAUGUACCCACAUUUUGCAGAUAGGAAGACAAAGCCACUUGCCUUAGGCCACCCCAUCAGUCAGUAAUAUAGACAGACUAUUCAAAGGUGCUGGAGCAGUCUCUAUCAUUAGUACACUUUAAAACCACUAAAAGAACAGAAUUUGAACCCCAAGUAUGAGAAUAACACUUCUGCAUUAAUCCAGCCCUGCAGAACAGCCAGUUGUAAAAUCAAACAGUGAGCCCAGUUUGGUAAUACAGAUAUCUAUUUUAUUAAAAAAGUUACAAACAGGUGGACCGUAGGGUUGUCUUACAAAAUGACAAGAAUGAAAUCUAUCGGAAAAACUUUUUACAAAGCAGUAUAGGUAAUUGUUCAAUUUUUGCACUUGUUAUUCCAGAUUUCACCUAUCACUGAUAAAGAUACAGUACAUUAGAUAUAUGAUGUUAGGUUACAUUUUCUUUGUAGAGCCCUACUGCAGUGAUUUGAACAACUCCUAAACAGAUGCCAUAGUAGAGACAAUACAUAUAUUGCAUUUAUUAUUAGCUUCUUAUUCUAAUAAGCAACUUCACAUGCAAUCUAUUGAGGAAGCCUAAAAUAACUUUUGGUCCCUUUUUUCAAAGUGUGCUGAAGAAACCAUCUUUAUCUCAUUUUCUCAUCCUUAUCACUCUAAGCUAGUUCAAGUCAAGUUUUUUUUGCUGAGGUCAAUGAAAUGAAUACUUUUGUUUGAUAAACUACCCAUAGGAAAGAACCACCAACUGAUAUCAACCCAACUUUUCUCCCCUUAGACAAUGGAAAACUAAGAUCGUAACUAUUUAUGUUUAUUUCCUAUUACUUGGUAUAUCUACUAAAAGACCAACAAUCACCACUUAAAUCUACUUUGAAUACAGGGUUUGGUUUAAUUCUGGUAUUAAAGUGCAAACCUAAAUAUUAGCCUCGGCCUGUUUAUAAAAGUUUGUACAAACAGGGAAAAGUGUUUUAAGUAACCACACAGCAAAGUUAGGUGUUCUGAUAUCCAAGCAGAAACCUUAGAGAAUUUAUUCUCAUCGAAAUUAAAAUUCAACACUAAGAACAUAGUCAAUAAAAUCUUAAUUUCUGCUAAAUACUGUAAAUCUUAAGAUCCUGUGUUCUAUUAACCCAAUAAACUGCAUGAAAGUGGAGACACUAUACUGGUGACUUCAUUUGCAGUUUUGUUUGAAUGCCAUCAUCAUUUAGUGAAUUUUAAAUCGCUUCACCUCGCAUAUCCAUCACUGCUUUUACUGGAGCUUUCCUUGUCAAAGUUAUUUAGCUAUUACAGGGAAAAUGUAUAGUUAUAUUUAUCAGAAGCGUGUUCAAAUGACUAAAGCUGGGCUCCUAAAAACCUAGAACUUUGGUGCAGUAGGUGAGCUGCAGUUAUUAAACUUCUGCAAAACAAAUUACACAUUUUAAACCACCACUAGAAAAAGCUCUCAUGUAUGCAAUAAUUGUUAAUAAAACUGAACAAAGAUUUCAUCUGCUCUUUAUACAUUUUCAUUCUGCUUUAAUACCUGUGUUAUUGUUAAAAUUUUCAAGUAUUCAGACAAAAUGUUGAUCAGGUAAACAACAUGGAAGGCAAUGGCUGUUUGAAGCACGCUUGCAGUUAGUAUCACUGACACCUGGUGCUUUUCCCCUUGUUACACCAACUUUGUCUCUAACGCUAACUUGUUUACGGGGGGAAAAAAAAACAACUAAAAAGCUAUUUGUGACAGUGCAAGAAAAACGUUAACAAAUAUUGCUUUAAAAUAUUAUUCAGAAAGACAAUUAGGAAUUAUAAAAUGUAAGAUCAUUUUAUUUGCAUUAGAUUUACAAGUGCAGAGGUCCACUAGAUGUCACUUAAUGUGCUGGGUAAACUUGAGCUAAUUCUGGGUAGGCAUACAACCCAGUCUGGAGGAUACGUUAUCCCUUUUCAAAAGCAUACUGAAGCAGAUCAGAAACUAGCAAAUUUAGAAACUUAACAGAAUGGAAAAACAUACUACUUCAUUUCAACACUGCAAUUACCAUUAAUAAAAAGUCUGAAAACCCACAGUAUUGUGAAGUAAGAACACAUUAGCUGGAUGCUUGAUAGCCCAUUUCAAAUAAUCCCUAUUACAAAUACACGAUCACAAACUCCAUAUGACUGAGAAAAGGGAUAUUACAUCCAUACAGCAUAAGAGGUGUCUUCAGUAUCUUUUCAUGACACUGUCACACGUAAACAUAAAAGUCUCAAAGUAUUGACCAACUACAUUGUAGGAGAAAACUUUGCAAAUAGAAUUAAGCACUGAUGCGAGGUAAUAUACAGAAGUAACCACUUGUUUAAGGCUCAAUUUAUUCUCCAUUAACUCUUUUUAAAAAGGCAUUGAGUAGGUAAUACUGAGUUUAAGUAUUUAAUAAAUACAAGUUCAGAAAUUGAUUAAAGAAAUCAAUUAAAAUAUUAAAAAUGAAUUCUUGCAUAUUAGCCAUUAAUAUGAACUUAGAAAGCUAGAAAAGGAAGAUAAA